UGGGGAAUCUUGGACAAUGGGGGCAACCCUGAUCCAGCGAUGCCGCGUGAGCGAAGAAGGCCUUAGGGUUGUAAAGCUCUUUCGCCCGCGACGAUGAUGACGGUAGCGGGAGAAGAAGCCCCGGCUAACUCCGUGCCAGCAGCCGCGGUAAUACGGAGGGGGCUAGCGUUGUCCGGAAUUACUGGGCGUAAAGCGCGCGUAGGCGGUCCACCAAGUCGGGGGUGAAAGCCCGGGGCUCAACCCCGGAAUGUCCUCCGAGACUGUUGGACUGGAGUUCGGGAGAGGAGAGCGGAAUUCCCAGUGUAGAGGUGAAAUUCGUAGAUAUUGGGAAGAACACCGGUGGCGAAGGCGGCUCUCUGGCCCGCAACUGACGCUGAGGCGCGAAAGCGUGGGG
rnacentral:rRNA from 1 species